GCACAGCUGACCGGUCCACCUGCUGCACCAGAUGCUCACGUCUACCUUGAUCACGAUCCAGUCGUCCUCACACCUGGCAUCCAAUCAGGCCCCUCAGCAGCCCCUCCUGUUCCUGACACAGAGCCUCUAAGACCCUGGAUUCUCCAGCAUGACAUGUGACUUUUUAUGUGCUAGGAGGUGACUCUUGCCAACCUCAACAAGUUGAAGUUUCUUAAAGGCUGGCUGUAACUGGAAUAUGAAAAUCAC